GCUUCGAUUCGUUCAAUUUUGAGCUUCUUCUUCUUCUUCGAUUUUUUGUUAAAAUUUCUUUUGUGCUUUGCCUGUAACAGCCUCUGCUCCGGCGCCACAGCAAGGCGGUCCACCGGCAGUUCCUGGAAAUGAUGCUGAAAGAUUUGCAUCGACUGGAUUUACAUCUCUACUCCUCUUCGUAGCUUUCCUAAUAUUUUAUUAGGAUGAGUUGAUUUAGGGCAUAAUCGACCAAACUUUUUAGAGUAAAUAACAUUGAGCUUUCUAUGUACUUUAGGAGUGAUGUGAAAAUGAGACUCCGAGCAUUUGUUUGCUUUGUUUUAUUUGUAUGUUUGGUCCCUUUACCACAAUAUUUAUUUGAUUUAAAACGAUUGUGUAAUAGUCAUGCUGAUUUGAUCACUUACAAUAAUGCGAUACUUUUCGUAUUCUAUUUUACUUA